rnacentral:misc_RNA from 1 species
GAUGAAGAACGCAGCAAAAUGCGAUACUUGGUGUGAAUUGCAGAAUCCCGUGAACCAUCGAGUUUUUGAACGCAAGUUGCGCCCGAAGCCAUUAGGCCGAGGGCACGCCUGCCUGGGCGUCACACGUCGUUGCCCCCCCAUCUACUCCUUCGGGAUUGCGGGGGGCGGAUGAUGGCCUCUCGUGCGCCUCGUCGCGCGGUUGGCCUAAAUGCCAAGUCCUCGGCGACGCACGCCACGACAAUCGGUGGUUGCGAAACCUCGGUUGCCUGUCGUGUGCGGUCGUCGCGCAUCGAGGGCUCGAAAAAAUUGCCGGGCUUCGGCUCGACUUUCAACGCGACCCCAGGUCAGGCGGGGUUACCCGCUGAAUUUAAGCAUAUCAUAAGCGGAGGA